UACAGAGGGUGCGAGCGUUAAUCGGAAUUACUGGGCGUAAAGCGUGCGUAGGCGGUUAUGUAAGUCGGAUGUGAAAGCCCCGGGCUCAACCUGGGAAUUGCAUUCGAGACUGAAUAGCUAGAGUACGGUAGAGGGAAGUGGAAUUUCCGGUGUAGCGGUGAAAUGCGUAGAUAUCGGAAGGAACAUCAGUGGCGAAAGCGACUUCCUGGACCAGUACCGACGUUCAGGCACGAAAGCGUGGGGAGCAAACAGG
rnacentral:rRNA from 1 species